GACGAACUUUGGCGGCGUGCUUAACACAUGCAAGUCGAACGGAAAGGCCCUGCUUUUGUGGGGUGCUCGAGUGGCGAACGGGUGAGUAACACGUGAGUAACCUGCCCUUGACUUUGGGAUAACUUCAGGAAACUGGGGCUAAUACCGGAUAGGAGCUCCUGCUGCAUGGUGGGGGUUGGAAAGUUUCGGCGGUUGGGGAUGGACUCGCGGCUUAUCAGCUUGUUGGUGGGGUAGUGGCUUACCAAGGCUUUGACGGGUAGCCGGCCUGAGAGGGUGACCGGCCACAUUGGGACUGAGAUACGGCCCAGACUCCUACGGGAGGCAGCAGUGGGGAAUAUUGCACAAUGGGCGGAAGCCUGAUGCAGCAACGCCGCGUGCGGGAUGACGGCCUUCGGGUUGUAAACCGCUUUCGCCUGUGACGAAGCGUGAGUGACGGUAAUGGGUAAAGAAGCACCGGCUAACUACGUGCCAGCAGCCGCGGUGAUACGUAGGGUGCGAGCGUUGUCCGGAUUUAUUGGGCGUAAAGGGCUCGUAGGUGGUUGAUCGCGUCGGAAGUGUAAUCUUGGGGCUUAACCCUGAGCGUGCUUUCGAUACGGGUUGACUUGAGGAAGGUAGGGGAGAAUGGAAUUCCUGGUGGAGCGGUGGAAUGCGCAGAUAUCAGGAGGAACACCAGUGGCGAAGGCGGUUCUCUGGGCCUUUCCUGACGCUGAGGAGCGAAAGCGUGGGGAGCGAACAGGCUUAGAUACCCUGGUAGUCCACGCUGUAAACGGUGGGUACUAGGUGUGGGGUCCAUUCCACGGGUUCCGUGCCGUAGCUAACGCUUUAAGUACCCCGCCUGGGGAGUACGGCCGCAAGGCUAAAACUCAAAGGAAUUGACGGGGCCCCGCACAAGCGGCGGAGCAUGCGGAUUAAUUCGAUGCAACGCGUAGAACCUUACCUGGGUUUGACAUGGAUCGGGAGUGCUCAGAGAUGGGUGUGCCUCUUUUGGGGUCGGUUCACAGGUGGUGCAUGCCUAUCGUCAGCUCGUGUCGUGAGAUGUUGGGUUAAGUCCCGCAACGAGCGCAACCCUUGUUCACUGUUGCCAGCACGUUAUGGUGGGGACUCAGUGGAGACCGCCGGGGUCAACUCGGAGGAAGGUGGGGAUGACGUCAAGUCAUCAUGCCCCUUAUGUCCAGGGCUUCACGCAUGCUACAAUGGCUGGUACAGAGAGUGGCGAGCCUGUGAGGGUGAGCGAAUCUCGGAAAGCCGGUCUCAGUUCGGAUUGGGGUCUGCAACUCGACCUCAUGAAGUCGGAGUCGCUAGUAAUCGCAAAUCAGCAACGCUGCGGUGAAUACGUUCCCGGGGCC
rnacentral:rRNA from 1 species